GCGGUAGUGGCGAAAUGGUAGACGCGCUACUUUGAGGGGGUAGUGGGCAUUGGCCUGUGUGAGUUCGAGUCUCACCUACCGCA
rnacentral:tRNA from 1 species